UGCUGCUUCUCCAACUCCAGCUGCUUCUUUACUUCAGCAAUCAAACGAUCACGCUCCUGCUCGAGACUUUGCCGCAUCUCUGCCAUUGUCAAUUCUAGUUGAGACACAAAGAAAGAUGAGUGUAUAUUUCUCCAUCGUUAGCUCCUUGAUGCCUCAGUUGUGCUGCAUGUGGUACAAAGAGGUACUCCCCACCUGCUGCAGCUGCCUUGCACAGCCUUUGGCCUCAGAAGCCAAGAGUUCAAUACUGCUCUGUGAACUAGUUUUCAACAAAUAAACAGGACCAUGGAUCACACUCUUCCCUCCCAGAAACACAAAUCCAUCAAUUCUGUAUCCUGGCUCCUUUAGACAGAAGAGUCUGAAUGUCUUCGCAAACAUGGCUCUCCCAGGACAUAAUUGUAACAAGGUUAAAGCUCCAAAGCCAAAAUGAUUCCAGAAAGCUUUGAAAGUCAUAUUUACUUCGAUGAAUAAAAUGAGAUAAACACACAGAAUUAUGCAUCUGCCAAAAUUCAGUCCCCCAACCUUUAUUUCCAGCACAGCUUCACAGGACACAAAGGGAUGAAAUAAGAUACUAUUACACAACUUUGUCCCCUGGACCUCAGGCCAGUUCAACACCACA